UUGGUAACACACACAGGAAGUUCCUAUUCUACCACAACAAACCGAUGUGUGAGAGUUAAUUUCUGAUGUGAAACAAACUAAAGUGUGUGAAAAUGGACGAGGAACAAACGUGAUGAGUGACUAUGACUGCCAGUAAGACAGACGGGGAUGGAACUGGGCCAGUGGAGCAGGCUCUGUCUCAGGUACAGUAAACCAAACGCACACACACUGAACAGCCAAUCCCAGCACACUAGUCAUUAUCUCUGAGUGUGCAUUGCAUCUGUGUGGUGCGUUUGUGCAUGUUUUCAUGUGCUCACGUGAGUGUUUUCCUGUGUGAGUGUGUGUUCCACAGGACACAUCAGUGAUGAUAGGGUCUCCUCAGUGUGUUCUGGCUCUGUGGAUGCUGUUUCCUACCUGACCCCGCACCAGAGGAGGAGCAGGGGCUGAUGAGCAUGCCUAAGACCAUGGCAAUGUGCCACCUGGCCUUGGCAGACCUGCUCAGGGUAGGGACAUAGAUGGGAACAAUUUUAACCUGAGGAGGUGGUACAGGAUCAUGCAGUCUUCCCUGACCACAGACAGAGACAGCAGGACAACAUAGCCAGGUGUUGCGGAGCAGCUACAGAUGAGUUUCCAGAAGCUGUCUGGUUCCCCUGCGGCCGCUACAUCCUCCGGGCCCAGCCUGCACCACCAGACCGUGGAGAGCAACCCUCCAGCCCUCCAACCUAAAAUACUGGCACCCAGCCCUGAGGGCCUGCAAGCCCAGGUUUUGUAAGAACCACUAUGCGGAGAUGGAGGCCACUCUCCCCAGGAUGUACAAAUGGCUACUGGACCGGUUCUCCUUCUUGCUGGGGGUGAAACCUGACUUUGUGUAUGGAAAAAGUACUGAAGGUGGAGAGGCAUUUCCUCAGGAGCAGCAAGCCCUGGGCUAGAGCUUUAACUACGCCCACAAAGACACCGCACAGAAAACAGGCCAACGGCAAACAAACCAGAAAAACAACUUUGUUCUCUAGGCAGCUAAAGAGAGUGACUUCAUCGGGACCAACUACUAUGGAUUGUUACUGUGCCAUAAUGGCAUGCUGACGGAUUACUUUCGUUUUUGUCUCGAUGCAACAUGAUUGAGUGUUUAUGCCUUUUUGUACAAAUUGCCUCACCGCAUUGCCAAGAAUGAAUGGCAAUGCUCCUGUGGAUUAUAAUGCAAUUACGAUGCGAUAUGAUGUUUAUGAACAUGCUGUACUUUCAGUUAUAUUAAACUAUAUUUUCUGUUAUUACAAUGUUA